rnacentral:rRNA from 1 species
UACGUAGGAUCCGAGCGUUGUCCGGAUUUACUGGGUGUAAAGGGUGCGCAGGCGGACUGGUAAGUCAGUGGUGAAAUCUCGUCGCUUAACGACGAAACUGCCUUUGUUACUAUCAGUCUUGAAUCCGGUAGAGAUCUGUGGAAUUCCGAGUGUAGCAGUGAAAUGUGUAGAUAUUCGGAAGAACACCAGUGGCGAAGGCAGCAGAUUGGGCCGGUAUUGACGCUCAGGCACGAAAGCAUGGGGAUCAAACAGG